CUCCGCCCCAUCAGAAAUUUUCCUUCUGCUCAGUGAUUGCCCCAUUCACCUGGUUGGGAAACCAGAGGCGUAGCCGUUCUGGAAGUGAGCAGCUGCUCUGGCUGGCCUGAGGCCCCGGGCAGCUGGCCAAGCCCAGCUGCUAUAAAAGGGAGCCAGCACUCAGCCCUGCAUAUCCUCUGUCAACUCUGUUUCAGGGAGACCAGGCAGGGCAAAUCCUUGGGCACCAUGCUGACAGACCUGGAGAAAGCCAUGGACUCCCUCAUUGAUGUCUACCACAAGUACUCCCUGGUUAAAGGGAAUUACCACGCCGUCUAUAGGGACGACUUGAAGAAAUUGUUAGAGACAGAGUGUCCCCAGUACACGAAGG